AUCACAUGUCAGCAGACUGCUUGUUUUUCCUGAGUCUAACAGCAUGCAGAUUUACAGCGUCUGGCUUGAAUACAGUAAGAUUUUUACUAUAUUAAUGGAGGCAUGAGGGGCUUAGGGGGGCUAGAUGGUCGUGUUAACACUAUAGGGUCUGGAAUACAUGUUGCACUGGUGACUAUAGUGUCCCUUUAAUACAAACAGCAAGUGUGGAAACCUUGUGAAGGGAGAAUGGAUCUUGCAUCUCAUAAAUGGAGCCAUUUUAUGUGCUUGUAAACAAAGUAAAAACCGAUAAAACCCCAUUUAGAGGUAAAGGAAGUGGACUGAAUUUAGUGAGGAUUGUUGGG